AGAAUCCUGUUUGCAGGUGUGUGUCCGUUUCGCGUCGCGGUGGCCCGAGCUAUCGGGGGCCGACCACGUCUUCCUCGAGAGCCGUGGCCGAAGCAUCCGCAGCGGAGGAAGGCCAGAGCCGAUGUGACUGCAGAUCCGGGAGCCCUCGCGUCCUGCCUCCACCCGCGGGACGCACAGACCCAACCGCGGGGAUGGCCACCAGGGUCCGGACAGCGGCCAUCUGGGUCUUGGAAAGACUUUCUGUCUCCGGGACGCCUGCGUGGCUCAGUCGUUAA